CAGCCGCCGCGGUAAUACGAAGGGUGCAAGCGUUAAUCGGAAUUACUGGGCGUAAAGCGUGCGCAGGCGGUUAUAUAAGACAGAUGUGAAAUCCCCGGGCUCAACCUGGGACCUGCAUUUGUGACUGUAUAGCUAGAGUACGGUAGAGGGGGAUGGAAUUCCGCGUGUAGCAGUGAAGUGCGUAGAUAUGCGGAGGAACACCGAUGGCAAAGGCAAUCCCCUGGACCUGUACUGACGCUCAUGCACGAAAGCGUGGGGAGCAAACAGGAUUAGAUACCCCCGUAGUCCCUGUCUCUUAUAC
rnacentral:rRNA from 1 species